rnacentral:rRNA from 1 species
UACAGAGGGUGCGAGCGUUAAUCGGAAUUACUGGGCGUAAAGCGCGCGUAGGCGGCUUUGCAAGUCGGGUGUGAAAUCCCCAGGCUUAACCUGGGAACUGCAUUCGAGACUGCAUUGCUAGAGUAUGGGAGAGGGAAGUGGAAUUUCAGGUGUAGCGGUGAAAUGCGUAGAUAUCGGGAGGAACACCAGCGGCGAAGGCGGCACUCUGGGCUGGAACUGACGCUGAGGAGCGAAAGCGUGGGUAGCAAACAGG